rnacentral:rRNA from 1 species
UACGAGGGGGGCAAGCGUUGCUCGGAAUCACUGGGCGUAAAGAGCACGUAGGCGGGUGCGUAAGUCGAUUGUGAAAUCCCUGGGCUCAACCUGGGAAUUGCAGUCGAUACUGCGCAUCUUGAAUUCUCGAGAGGAUGACGGAAUUCCUGGUGUAGGAGUGAAAUCCGUAGAUAUCAGGAGGAACACCGGAGGCGAAGGCGGUUAUCUGGCGAGACAUUGACGCUGAGGUGCGAAAGUGCGGGGAGCAAACAGG